UUGAACGCUGGAGGCGUGCUUAACACAUGCAAGUCGUGCGAGAAAGGGACUUCGGUGUUAGUGGCGCACGGGUGCGUAACGCGUGGGAAUCUACCCUUGGGUUCGGAAUAACAGUGGGAAACUACUGCUAAUACCGGAUGAUGACGUAAGUCCAAAGAUUUAUCGCCCAGGGAUGAGCCCGCGUAGGAUUAGCUAGUUGGUAAGGUAAAAGCUUACCAAGGCUACGAUCCUUAGCUGGUCUGAGAGGAUGAUCAGCCACACUGGGACUGAGACACGGCCCAGACUCCUACGGGAGGCAGCAGUAGGGAAUAUUGGACAAUGGGCGAAAGCCUGAUCCAGCAAUGCCGCGUGAGUGAUGAAGGCCUUAGGGUUGUAAAGCUCUUUUACCCGGGAUGAUAAUGACAGUACCGGGAGAAUAAGCCCCGGCUAACUCCGU
rnacentral:rRNA from 1 species